AAUAUAAUUUAAAAUAAAAGACAUUUAAAGAUUUUAUGGAAAUGCAAUAUUUUAAAAAAUAAAUUUUUAAUUUUUAAAAUAUUAAAUAUUUUGUAUUCAAAUUUAAUAUGAAAAAGUUACUUAUAGAAGGUGUAUCUAACUAGAAGUUUGAGUUGAUUUGUAUUAAAAUGAAAAAAAUCGUUGCUAUUCAAAUGUUAAUUAAAAAAAAAACUUUAAAAUUCUGUAUUAUUGAAUUUUCCAUUUCGUAAAAGUAUUUUUAAAUCUAUUAUUUUUGAACAAAAUUUAAAUUGUAGAUUUUAUAGUGCUUUAAGUGUUUCUAAAAUGUUUGAGAGAAGUUUCUUAAUUAUAAAAAUAAAAAUUCAAUUAUUAUAGUUGUAAUAAGAUUUUAGAGUGGUUUAAUAAAAAGCAAAUAAAUUAGUUCAAAUUUUAGAUUGAAUAAACCUCCUUAAUAAAUAUCUAAACAUUCAGAUAUUUAUAAUGGCACAAAUCGUAAAUAAUGUGACAGUUAAAAAGUUCACUAUGAUAAAUACUCGAGAAAAUUACAUUGAUAGACACUUCUUGUGUUUGUAACAUCAAAAGACACUUCUUGCUUAUAGUGCGUUGUUUGUCAAAUAUACCUUCCAACUACGUCUGUUUCUCCUUAGUCCAUCGAACCUAAUACUGUCUUUUUUAAAUGUUAAUGUAAAAUAAAGAUACGACUUUCUCAAUUGUCUUCACCAAACUCCAUUAUCUCUCCUUCUCAGUAUCUGAAAUUCUAUUUUCUCUUGUUCUCAAUCUCAUAAACAUCAAUUGACCCUGAGAACUCCCGCAACGAAACCAAAUUGUUUCAACCUAAUAUGUGGUAUAUAUAUGUUUUUCACCCAUCGUCUCUUAACCACCGCCGAACAACACCUCACACACAUCCUUGUUCCGAGACCAAUUAUGGAUUCGAUUUCAAAAAGACGUAAGGGUGGAUACAGGGUAAUGGAUGUGGAGGAGAGGGAGAGGUGAUGAUGGAGAAGAUGGAAAUAAAAGCUGAGGAGAGUUUGAUUUGUUACUUAACCUGAGACUGGAAUAUUAAAGGGGUUUGGGUUUGUCACUUUCAAGGAUGAUAAAUCCACGAAGAAUUCUAUGGAAGGGAUGAACGGACAUAAGCUUGAUGGUCUCUAUGAGCAAGGCACAGUCUCGUUGAAGCGGUGGCGGUGGAGGGCGUGGUGGAGGCGGUGGUGUUUUGUGUUUAUGUAGAAGGCGGUGGUGGAAAACAUGAGCGUGUAUACAGUGGUGGAAGUGGCUACUUAAGUGGCGGUAGAUACCGCAGUGGAGGCUGUGGUGGUGGAAGACGUGAGGUUGGGGCAUACAGAGGUGGAGGCCGUGUUAAGUGGCGGUAGAUACCGCAGUGGAGGCUGUGGUGGUUGUGGAAGAGGCGGUGGUGGAUACAGAGGUGGAAGACGUGAGGGUGGAUACGGUGCUAUUGGAGAGAGGAAGAGGUGGUGGUUGGGGAUACGAAGGUGGUGAAGGUGGAGGGUACGAAGGAAGUCUUGGUGUUGGUGUUUGGAAAUUAGAUUCAGGUGUUGAGAUUGUUACGAUUGUUUUGUUUGGAUUGUAACAUUUCGAAAUUAAAUAUUUGAUUUUUGAAAAAACAUUAAUAGUUUAACUA